CAGGCAGCAUCGAUGGCGGAGAAUAAACAGUUGACAUUUUGGACCGAGACGCUUUAUCAUGACUGCUCAGAACCUUUCUGCUGUAGUUGCUUCAGAUUAUUAAAAUACAAAGGGAGUACAAAAGAGCUGGAAGACACCAAAGCUGAAGCACAAGGUUUCACUACAGGAUUCUACAGGACAAAGUACAAAGAAAAUCUGAG